UGGUGUUCCAAUAAAAGCCACCUUCCAUCCAUAUCUCAACAGCAGUAGAGGAAUAAUUAGAACAAGAGAACUUCAGGAUAUGGAUGAAUCUGAAAUAACCACAGAAUUAACACAAGAAGGUGUUACAAGUGUAAAGAGAAUUUCAAUCAGAAAAGGAGAUCAAAUAAUAAAGACUGGGACAUAUAUCUUGACUUUCAACAAAUCCCAACCACCAGAAUGGAUCCGUUUAGGAUAUCUGAGAGUCCCCGUUGAUAUUUUUAUCCCAAAUCCUCUAAGAUGCUUCAACUGUCAGAGAUUUGGUCAUAGUUCUGCUGGCUGCAAUAACAAGUCUAUUUGUCAUAACUGUGGAGAAGAAAGACAUGAGGGAAACUGUUCAAAAUUAUCAAAAUGCAGGAAUUGCACAGGUGAUCAUCCAUCAUCAUCAAAGAUCUGUCCCUCACGGAAAAAAGAAAAAGAAAUUCAAAAAGUGAAAUGUCUUAAAAGAGUGAACUAUGCAGAUGCUCGGAAAGAGGUUGAAAAGCUUCCUAUUUUUCAGUUUGAGAAAUCCUUUGCUGCAGUGGUUUUACCGACCAAGCAAGAGGCUGAGUGCCAAACUGAUCUGACCUGGUUAACAAGAGAAAAACCACAAUUAAUCAGUAAAACCUCAUCUUCAAUCAAAAAGAAAACACAAAGCACCCAAACUUCUAGUCAAACACAAACUGAAACAAUUCAGGAUCAAAGUGUAAUAGUGGAGAUUCCAGUGACCUCAAAAGGAAAGAAGUCACAGCACAGCACAAGAGCUCAACAACAAAAGUUUAGUCAGGAGAAUAGAUCACAGAAAGCUGACUCCCUUAAGGAUGUAAACAUGGCGGAACCCACAAUUUCCCGCAGUCGGAGCUCCUCUCCUAAAAGUAGGAGUAAAGGCCAAGUACUGGUUUUACCAACAUAAUUAAUACCAGUAUUAUUCAGUGGAACUGUCGUGGAGCAAAGGCAAAUUUUGCAGAACUUCAACGACUAGUUAU
ensembl:lncRNA